rnacentral:tRNA from 1 species
GUUUUAAUAGUUUAAGUAAAAUUAAGAACUUGUAAUUCUUAGAUGGUAAUUAACCUUAAAACU